GGAGUAUUGCUUAAGGUGCAUAACGAAUACAUCAACCAUCCCAUAUUAUUUUGGUUAAGAUCAGUUUUCACAACCAUCCCAUCUCUUUAUUUUCAACCUCACUAGCCUCAUUGUACUUGACUUCUCGUCCAACUUGUUCUAUGGAGAAAUCUCAUCCCGAAUUGCUUCGCUUCAGAGGCUCAAAGUCUUAGACUUUGGCGAUAAUCAGUUGUUCAGCGAGUAACCAAGCCAACUGGGUGAGUUGACUCGUCUUGAAAUCCAUACCCUUGGUCCCAACCUCUUCACUGGUGUCAAUCCGCCGGAGCUCGGAAACUUGGCCAAGUUCAGUUCUCUGAACCUCUCCGGCAAUGCACUCACAGGGAAUAUCCCAACCCAGAUUGCCAAUCUAUCCCACCUGCAAGUAUUAGCAAUUGGCAACAACCUUCUCUCAGAGAGCAUGUUCUGGAAUACUACCUACUGGACAAAAUCUUCAAGCUAGAUUGGGAAGAGCAGUGAGAAGAUGCAAUCAGUGUGAAUGACUGAUAAAACACAUUUCUUGGAUUGCGAAUUUAGCCAGGGAGUAAGGAAGGGUGUAGAAGGUAAGCAGAUUGCAAACAUCUCAUCUGUGUCCAGCUUCAAGUAGUCGUUCGCCUGCAUACUCUACUCAAACGGGGAAGCAGUUAGCAGAAUUAGCAGCAGAAAUCACAUGGCUUAUCUGGAAAUGCAGAAUUGGGAGGACUUUUGAAGAAAAAGCCGAGGAACCAGCAACACAAAUUAGUGCAUAAGCAGAGGCACUUCUCUAGGAGUAUUGGAAUCUACGUGGCAGAGAGAGGGUCAGGAAGAUUGAAGGCCAUAGCAGAUGGUUAGCACCUUGGGCUGUAGGUGAGGGUUCAAACCUCAUUUGCAGUGAAAAAAAUUUAAGGGUUGUGUCAUAGCACUCCCUUGGUCUAGUUGGGUCUGUAUACCCACUAACUCCCUACCAUAGCCUCCUUAGGCUCCCCCUUCCCCCUAGAUUAGAAUAGAGUAGAUUAUACAAAUGUAUCGUUGCUGACAAAAAAAAAAGGAGAGCAUUUACAAGAUCAAUAUGGAUGGUACAUUUUUCGAAGCUGGAAUUGGAAUAUGUUUCGUAGUAAGGAACCAAUGGUUGAGAAGAUUCCCCGAGCUCUCAAUCCUGGGUUGGUGGAAUGCUUUAACCUUCCUAAAAGCGUUGCAGUUUGCUAAGAAUUUUGGUGUCUCUCAUUCAUUUUGGAAUUUGAGUAUGUAAAGGUGUCCCAUAUAAAGUGCAAUAAUAACGCCCCUGCUCA